CUCCCUCACCAUUCCCCAGCCGAGUAAUAGGCCUUUCUCUUGAUGCUGGAAGCAAGCCUUUCUUUCCAUAGAAUGAGACCAGUUUCCAUAGAACCAGUCUAGUCUAGUUUUGGUGACUCAAUUGAUCUGACUGCAGGACCUGCUCUGGCCUUUGAUGAAGCUCCAGUAGGACAUUUUCCUGGUUCGGUGAGCAUGUUGAACCUCCUCAAUUACCCUCCUUACCUCUUGGCUUGUCUGAGCCUGGACCUACCUUGUUUCUCAGAGUCCUUACUUUCUGAGGAUUCCUGUCCUAGCCAAAACCUCUCCUUCCUGAGCCAUUGUGCUCUGUUUGUUUCUAGGUCCCCCUUUCUCUGUUCCGCUCAACAUCUAGAGAGCUUCUGUUGGACCUCUUUGAAUGUCAACUGCAAGACAGGAUGGCUGUCCACCUCCUGUGGUUUGUUCGCCAGUUCAUUUGCCUGCUCAGAUGCACACUGCUGCUGACUUUGCCCCAAAGCUGCUCCCCCAUCACAAUGGGUAAUGUCUCAACCCCAGGCCCAGUUUGCAUAGCCUGGAGCUUUGAUUGUCUGUAGGCCCUAAACUCUGCCUUGACACCCAUCUUUUGGAGGGCCAACAGCAGCUGGCUCUGUCGCCCUUUCUGCAGCCUUAUUUGCCCAUCUAUGGCAGUGCCCCCUAGGUUUUCUUUCCUCGCAGGUAUGAAUAAGAACACAGCGGUUCGAGGUCCCUCGAGGGAAAGCUCUGUCUGAAAACAGGCGUGAUUACUAUUUCCAUCACCUUUCUAAUCCUGUAAUCACACAUUUGCAGCAGGGAGCCUGGCCAGGGAGAGGCCGCGUCCACAAGCGGCAGGGAAGAGGGGGCCGCGUGUUGCAUGCCAACAGUGCUUAUUGAAAACGUAGGCAUGGCUGCCUUUCAUGAGCAGGAAGGUGAAUAAUGGAGGCAUUUAUCCCAAGCAGCUCACAUUCAAACUGCGCGGACCUGUGUUCACAUUAUGAAAGCUUUGUCAAAGACAUAUCACCCUUCCGGGCCAAGGGGAUGCUGACUGGGCUCUCAGUCCUGUCUGCUGGCUGGAAGGUGUAGGAGGGGAGGAUGUCUGAAUUGCUGGCCGCCCAUUCACAAAGAUUCUCCCAUGCUCCUCCUUUUGGAUCUUGUAACUUUUAAUUUGGAAGCCCAUCUUUCUAUCAUGAGUGGGAAAAAUUCUUACAGAUGUUUGGAAACUGUUGUUCAGAACAAAUCCCUGGGGACAGGAGAGACGGCUUAGUGGUUAGGGGUACCCACUGCUCUUGCUGCAGACCAGAGUUUGAUUCCCUGCAUUCUGUCAUGCAGCACACAGGGACCUAUAGCUCCAGCUCCAUGGAUUCAACGCCCUCUUCUGGCCUCCAUGGGCAUCUGCACUCACGUGUGCUAUAAGUAAUUGUUAUUAUUAUUAUUUUUUUUUUAAUCUAGGAGGAGUCUCUAACAGGUAUGAGGUCAGUUUUUCUUUUGAGGUCAUAAGAGAAUGAGGCCAAAUGAGGCUAGACUUCAGAAGGGGAGGGGAAUGUUCUUCCAGGCCAUCUGUGUGUGAAACAGAUUUAACCAGCAGCCUUUGUGGCCGAGCAGAGAAAGGGGCCUUGGUAACACAGCAGCCACCCAGGUUACUGUAAGAGGGCGGCCCCAGCCAGAAAACAUACCUGACUCUUAUUUUUAGAUAAUUCCUUCCAAUUGAUCUACUUGCGUGUAAGAAUCUCUUCCCUUGUGCGAAGGAAACUUUAUCAUUUGCUUUUGCUGCAACUCAGACCACCCUAGAGGUCAGCGGCAUACAGGGAAAGCCUUUAUUCAGCUUGCAGCUCUGAGGAUCACCUGUGGUCAAUGGAGCUUGGCCAGCUUCUGCGCCAUGUCCCUCCUGUCCCGACCUGCUGGUGAGCAGAAGCAUGCAGUGCCUCUUAAAACCUAGGCUCAGAACUGCUGCACUGCCACGUGACCCCAAACUAAGCUAAGGAGUGGAGAGGGGUACUCCAUUCCUUUAUGGGAAGACCUGAAUGUAUGGAGUGACCUUCUUGAGGAGUCUAAUUCUAUCGACUCCAGAUGAAGAAGAUAAUGAACAACCAAAGUAACUGUUCAACCUAAGUCCAACGUGGCAAACCAACAGGCUUGUUGGGUUUAGUGACAGAAGCCCGAAUGACCCCAGCAGCUGCAUCACUGAAAAUCCUGGGGUUUUACCCCACUGUGGCUAUCAGCUCAGGAAUUCUGCCUUCCUGACCUUCCUCAUGCAACUUCCAAGCAGCUACACAACCAAAGAGUCUCCCCUGCUAAGAAACUUCCUUCUUCUUUCAAAGCCUGGGGUAGGGACCCCUAAUCUCAGGGGGAAGCCUGAAAGUCAUGCAAGUCUCCCGAGCCUUGUGAGAAUGUGAAGUUCCCUGUGAAUCUCACGAGCCUCACCCGCAAUCACCUGGAGGGCACGCUGCAAUUGAGUGGGAACAGCUGCAGCAAGUGGCGCAGAGAGAGGGUAGAGGAGUCGUGAGCUAAUGACACAGACUCGACACUCAGAACGCUGUCACGGUCAUGCCCCCCUCCCAUGAGGCUUUAACAGAGCUCUUAUAACCCCUCGUUGGGAUGGAGGAAAUGAUACAGGGCCCUCCAAAAGAGACUCAGUCGUCCAGGCUAAGCUGACCUCAUGACUCCGACCCGUCCUUCCUGCAGCACGUGCCUCCACGGCGAACAGCAAGGCAGAGUCUGCACUGAGCUGAAUGAUUCUUUCCAUUUUGUUAAAGUUGGGUCCUCAGAAGCUGUAGUUUCCAUGUCUGAAAUUUCCCGGGGAAAACAGAGCAGCCAGAGGAACACACGGCCAAGAGCAAAUAAAUAGGAGACAGACGCUACAACUCGGGGGUCACGUGACCCGCAUUACUGCUAAAUGAGAGGCAUGAAGCAGAGAGAUGAGUGAUGGCAUGCCCAACCUCAACUCGAGACCAGCGCAUGGAGCCGAGAUCUCUUGUAAACGAUCCAGACCGAGAUUUCACAUAAUUCUAAUAAAAGAGCGAGGCCUUACUAGGCCUCCGGACACUUCCGGCUAACAGGUUCUGAGCACAAGUUGUUGAAUUCCAUCAGUGGGCAUGGCUGAGAACUGGGCUACCAGCAAUGGGCUAGCAGCAGCAGCUCUGAGGGUUUCCAAAGAUCUGCACAUGACCCUGCCCCGUUCCCAACCCUGCAAUCCUCCCAUCCCCCAGAUUAAACAAAUCCUUGAUGCUCUUUUCCCUGCCAUGGAGCAUAUCAUUUCACAGUGUCUCGUUUGCUAGAGGUUACCAAAAGAAAGCUAAAUUGGGAUUUUGUUCACUUGCUGAUGACUUGCCCCUAUUACCCAAGCUCAUUUUCAGUGGCAUUUCAACACUUUGGUAAUGAAUUAGCUCUACCAUUUCUGACACAAAGAGAAGAGGGUCUAAAUUAAUUUUCAGCGAGAGAUACUAUUGGUCCAGGCCACUUCCCUCCCACUGUGUUAACAUCAAUGUCUUGUCUCGUUAAAUGCCGAUAAACAAGUGUAACACUCUAACAAGCCACAAAUUGGCUUAUUGACACCUCUGGCAGCUGCUCUCUCCUUCCCAAACCCUUGUUUCAUAGGCAUUCUGUGGUUACCCAAAAUGGGGGCUCUUACGGAGCACAGGAAGGAGACCAUGUAGCCAUCCUAGGCUCCCAAGCUGCUAAUUUUUGUUCUCUUUGAUUUAAAUCGAACAGCAGACUAUCGAAAUGCCUUGCCUCUGCUCUGGGCUCCAUCUGUGGCCCAGGUAUUAAUGGCUUCCCUGCAGAGUGGGUGGGCUCACUCUGACACCCUCCCAUCACCUCUCAGGAAUGACACCACCAAUGACUGUGACCUCACUGGGUGGCCCUCUCUGUGUCAGCAAAUCAGUAGCUCUUUAACUAGACUACCGUGUUUGCUCCCGGAAUGCUGAGACCCAGAUGAGCAGGUCAGUGUGCAACUGCACCUUGGGCAACCCGCCCAAGAGGUCACAGGAUGAUCAAAUGGCUGUUUCUUUGGGUGUACGGCAAAGGGCUGACCUUGCGCCUCCAGCAAGAAAACCAUACUGGAAGAUUAAAACAAAACAGGACCGAUCAAGAGUAAAGGUGCUCACAGUUGCAGCCAAUAACUGAUGGAUGCCUGCAUACACAGUCCCCAAAGCUGAUGGAUGCCUGUGUACACAGUCCCAUAGCUGAUGGAUGCCUGCACACAGUCAUGGCCACGAGAGAUCUUCCACCAUAACCCUGCUUGAGAGCCUAGGAACAGCAUAGAGAGCGCAUUCUGCUCACCUGGGACAGAUCUAGGUAUUUUCAGAGCAGGAGGAUGAAGGAGAGGUCUAAUUCUUUUCAUGUGAGGUUUUCGUUGUUUUUUCUGGUAUUCGAAGUCCCAUGCUGGGUUUCAAGUUCACAUUGUUGUGAAUCCGUCCAGGAAAUCUCUGCUCUGUAAUUCCCCCACGAGCAUAGCUGUGUUAUCAGUGAUCAGUAGAAUCAACAAUAGGAAAGGGAUAUGAAAACAACAUUGCAGGGUGCUGAUCGCCAGGGAGAUAGUCUCCCCGGGCUCUGUCUAAGCCUGCAGCAUGGCUAAGGAAGGGGCUUUGCACGAUCCCAGUUCUGCUCUGGACACAGAGCACAAAGGAAUCGGGCGAUAGCACUGAGUGCACGUGGCCAUGGCGGGACAUGCGCGUGAGUCAGACGUCGGAUGUAGAGGAUGCCGGAACAGCUGAACGCCCCGCCCUAAGUGCCGCUUGCCAUCUGAAGUCUCAGGCAGUGUGGCAACACGGGGAAAGGACGGAUCCGAGAGGAGGCCCUCCCCUGGCUGCAUCCUGAUCCAGAAUGUUCGUCUCUCUCUCUCCAUCUCACUGUAGCUCCUCUUUGAGGGGUCGGUUGAAAUAUCACUUCUUCAGUCUGAGGGACUAAAUUAAGCUCCUCUGACUGUGAAUGUCACCAGGCAGACACCGCCUUGGAUUCUGUUCUCAUCUGUACCAUCACACCACCGCCCGCAAUCCCAGGACAUGGCCGGGAACAGCUGAAAGGACACGGGACAGAAAAUGUUCAAGGGAAGCUUAAUGACAUGGCAAGACCUCUACAUGGUGUCACAGGCGAGAGAGGAGCAUCAGCCCAAGGAAAAAAUAGAGCUUGACAGGGUCUGGGUCUGAUACCCCUUUGUCCUCUGAAUGGGCUGUUCCUUGUCAUGAAACAAACUCAGGUUGAGAGUCGUGUUCUCGAGGGUCCCCGACUCUGCUCAGCAUCAGGAGCCAUGGAUGGCUUGAUGAGCAGCUUGCUCAUGUUCUCCAUCUUGACUUUACGUGUCCUCUGGGAGAAAGAACUACUCACUUAAAUGCCACACAAACUCCAAAAUCCAAAAGAGAACUUGUAACCCUGUCCUCCGGUUCUCUCUCAUUCCACAGAAAAGAACACUGAGACCCAGACACUCCAGAAUCUUCCCCAAGGGGCCUAAAGCAUAGGUAAAAGUCCGGAAGCCUGGUGUGCUCUCGAUGCUGUUCCCACAUUAUUUUCUUUUCCUCCUUAAAUAAAAGUUCUAUUAUUGAAAGAAUGCUAAACAUGAUGUUGAGAUAUGAAAGAGACUUCUUUAAGAAAUUAAACUUUAAGUUGAAUAUGUUAGUUGCCAUCUGUAAUCUCAUAUAGUAAGGAGGCUGAGGCAAGAGGGUCUCAAGUUCAAGGCCAGCCCAGACUACAUAGAGAGUUUGAGGCUAGACUGAGCA